rnacentral:rRNA from 1 species
AGUGAACGCUGGCGGUAGGCCUAACACAUGCAAGUCGAACGGCAGCACAGUAAGAGUUUGCUCUUACGGGUGGCGAGUGGCGGACGGGUGAGGAAUACAUCGGAAUCUACUUUUUCGUGGGGGAUAACGUAGGGAAACUUACGCUAAUACCGCAUACGACCUACGGGUGAAAGCAGGGGAUCUUCGGACCUUGCGCGAUUGAAUGAGCCGAUGUCGGAUUAGCUAGUUGGCGGGGUAAAGGCCCACCAAGGCGACGAUCCGUAGCUGGUCUGAGAGGAUGAUCAGCCACACUGGAACUGAGACACGGUCCAGACUCCUACGGGAGGCAGCAGUGGGGAAUAUUGGACAAUGGGCGUAAGCCUGAUCCAGCCAUACCGCGUGGGUGAAGAAGGCCUUCGGGUUGUAAAGCCCUUUUGUUGGGAAAGAAAAGCAGCAGGUUAAUACCCCGCUGUUCUGACGGUACCCAAAGAAUAAGCACCGGCUAACUUCGUG